GAUGUGAUUUGAGAAUAUUGGAGACUUAUGUUUUGAAGUUUCUUCGGUUAAUUAAAUCUUAUUUUUUUUAGUGGAAAAUGAGAAAAGAUGAUUGAUUAGCAUAGUUGGGAUAUUAGACAUGGGGUAUUUAGUUUGUUAUGUGUAUAAUGUAUUGGAGAUGUAUAGUCGUGAGACUUGAUCAAUGAAAUGGAGGAAUAAUAAUGGAUAACUCAAAACUAUUGUCUGUUUUAAUUACAGGAAGCCUUGCAUCAAGUGAUCAAUCCAAAGGAUUGUGAUUCGAGUUGGAUUAAAAGCAAGUAUUUUGAACAUUAGAGCAAGAAGUGAAUUAAGCUUGAGAUUUUGAAAGACUAAUCCUAUAUUAGCUUGGUUUCAAAACAAGUUCCCUUAGUUAUUAUUAAGAUAUUGAAAUGAUAUGAAUUUGGUAGUAUAUUAAAUAAAGACUUGAGGAUUUCUGGUUAAUAUGGUUACUAGAAGCUGAGUAUUGAAUUGAAGAUUUGAAUGAUGGUUUGGGCUCGUGAAAUGUCUAUUCGAAAUUGGGGUUUGGAAAUGAAUUGUGGUACUUAAACGUAACUUAUGGGAAUUAUCUCAGUCUUAUUUGAUCGUGAGAGGAAUUCUCAAGGAAUGAAUUUGAGAUUGGGAGUUAUAAGCAUAGUUAUGCAUUUGAGAUCUAUGUACCGGGAGUUCUAGUUUCUUUGUUAAUCCUCUGUUUUUGAAUUAUUAGAAACAAUGUGAAGUAUAGGUAAUUUGAGCUUAGGAAUUAGAACUUGCGGAAAAAGGUCGGGAUCUAAAUUAUAAUACGGGAAGAGUCGUAUCCAUUCUAUAGUACUUACUUAUUGGAUGGAAAUGGCUUUACCUGAUACUAUUACAGUAUUACUUUUUUUUUUUUAAGUGGCCUAAAGAUUUACGUAGUAUGUUUUAAAACUUCGAAACUCUUUACCAAAUAUUUAUCAUGUUUUCAUUAGCAAAAUAUGAUUGAAAUCUUUCCACAAUAACCUUGGAAAGUAUAUAAAACUCAAAAUAUUCCUCUUAAGGGUAAAAAAAAACAUUCCAAAAUAAUUGGAAAUAUAUGUUUAUCUAACAUUUCCCUAGAGAGUAAUAUUUUUCUUUCUUUUUUUCAUCAACAUGGUGAAUGUUAGGGGAAAUCUAGCCUUCAUUAUCCCUAAAAUUUUGUUAUUCCUAAAUUGAGUGUCUUUUUUUUAUUGCUAUACUAUGAUUUCAAGAUAUAAAUUCAAAACGCUACGUUUCUUCAAAUAAUAUAAAAUUUUAUGUUUUGAAGUUUCAAGGACGAAACUUAUUUUAAGGGAGGUAUAAUGUGAUGCCCCAAUAUUUUAUAUUUUUAAUUCUAUUUAAGAAAUCAUUAUUUAUGAAAAUAGUAUUCUAAACGAACUUAUUAGUCAAAUACUUUGUAUGAUUUUAAAUUUUAGAUUUCUAGUAAGUCAAAAAUUCAAAUAAACAAUUUAUGAAAAAAAAAAGAAAAAAGAAAAAAAAAACUCAGAUAUUUAUGUUAACCGACAUUUCAUCUCCCAAUAUUCUUCCUUACCAUUUCAUCUUCACUCAUCUUCUCAAUAUUGGUUCCUCCAUUCCCUGUUCGUCGGUUGCCCUCACUGAAACCACAUAUCAAGCCACCACUUCUCCUCUGCCGUCGACCUGACCAUCGCCGGUGACAUCUAACAUCGACGAUGUUCACUCGAUCAUACUCCCUUGUUCGGUAAUUUUAGACUCGCUUCAUCAAUUAGUUGGAAUUGAAUAAAGAUGAAAACCCCCAAAUUGAGUAAACCCUAACCUAUUGAAUCUUCUCUCUCUUUUGGAUUUAUCCGGUGUCGUCGGUUCUUUCAUUUGACGGAGGCGUCGUCCUUAUUCGUUGGUGCUACUAAUACUGUCGGAGAUGAUACCUUGCUUGUUGGUGUUGAUCUUUGUGUUCUUGUUCCUCUUCUCUGCUAUUCGUUGCUAGCCCGAGGUUUUAUCGUUGGAUGCUAAUGGCGAUGACAUUCUAGUACAGUCUGGGGAUGAAGAAUUGGGAAACUUUGAUGCAGACGUGGUUUAUUGUGGUGACGAAAAUUUCUGCCGUACACCAUCGGGUAAAAUUGAAUUGUGAGGGCAAAGGUGUAGUGGAGGAGGUAGUUGUGGCUACCCCUUUAGUUGGUAUGACGUUUUCAUCGUGGGAUAGGGCUAAUGAACAUUUUAGGAAUUACGGAAAUCAUUGUAGUUUCGGGGUUGUUCGUGCUUAUGGUAAUUACAGUCGCAAAGUUGGUGAGGAGAAGACCUUGAGGAUCUAUGUUUGGAAGUGUGAAUGUGAAGGAAAACUAGAUUUACGAAGGGUGAAGGGGGUGAAAGCUACGAGAGCCAUGAUUACCGCCCCUGGUAUCCUUGACCAGAGGACAAGUAAGUCAAAAAAGUGUGGAUGCCCUGUUCAUAUGUAUGCGUCGGUAGACAACUAUGGAACUUGGGAAGUAAGGAAAGAAGUUGUAGAACACUUGAAUCACAAGCCAACCCCUCUUAAGUCUCGUUAUAUCUCAAUGUACAGAAAAGAUAAUAUUACUUGUGUUGUGAGGAGGAGGUUGUUCAAUGGUGUUGGUGGUGGUUCCAAGAUCAGUAACAUUCACAGAAGCUUAGCUAAAGAGAGAAAUGGUGUAGAAAAUAUUGCUAUAACUAUGAAGGACUUGAGGAAAAUAGUGGCGAAGGAAAAGAAACUCGAUCAAGAUUAGAGGUGGAGAUGCGAAACUAUGAUUGAUUAUUUCGAUAAGAUGACCAUUUUCUAACUUUGUGGGGGUCAAUCAUCAUGGGCAGACUAUUUUGCUUGGCUGUACACUAGUGUCUCAUGAAGACACUGAAACAUUUGUUUGGUUGUUCAAAACAUGGCUCCGUUGUAUGGGAGGCAAAGCCCCUAUUGGUUUUUUGACUGAUCAAUUAAUGUGCAGCAAUGAGGGCAGCACUUGAAAUUGUUAUGCCUAUGCCAACCACUAAGCAUCGAUGGUGCUUGUGGCACAUACUUCAGAAAUUUGGCAAAAGGUUGGGUAACUAUGCAAAAUAUUCAGAGUUUAAAGGUGUGUUACAUAACGUGAUCUAUGAUAGCUUAACAGAAGCAGAGUUUGAGGUGAAUUGGACUUCUUCCAUAGAGUUGUAUGGACUUGGUGUAGACGAUUGGUUAAGUGGGUUGUACGACCAGAGACACAUGUGGGUCCCAGCGUACAUGAAACACUUAUUUUGGGCCGGAAUGAAGAUCACACAAUUUUCUGAGAGUAUCAACAACUUUUUUGAUAAGUAUGUAAAAAGUGACACCCGUUUGUACCAGUUUGCGGAGAGCUAUAUUGAUGCUAUGGAACACAUAGUUAAUAUCGAGAAAGAAGCUGAUGUAAACACAUCCAUUAACGUUAGGGAACUGGUAACUGGCACUACAAAAAAUUGUACCAUUAAUGACGGGAAAUCCCGUCGUUAAAGGCCAAUAAUCGUUGAUUCAUGAAGGAAUUUCCUGUUGUGAACCCGUCAUAAAAGGGGGCUGUCGUAAAUGGAAAAUCUCGUCGUUAACCCGUCGUAAAAGACAUUUGCGACGGUUGUUCACGUCUUUGUUUGGUUGUUAGCCCCGUCGCAAAAGGCUUUUACGGCGGGAUUUUUGACCCAUCAUAAUUAGGUUGUCGUUAAAGAUACAAAUUCUUGUAGUGUGGUUUUCAAGUCGAAAGAGUAUUUCAAAAGCUUUACACAGAUGCGAAGUUUUUGGAGGUUCAGGUUCAAUGCAUGAGAGUACUAUAUGUCCAAUGGCUUAGAAGAAUUGAGUUGUCAGAAAAUGAAGUGGAACACCAUUUGGAAGACAGGGUUUGGAUUUACUUAAAGUAAAUUAGGAAGGAGAUUGUAACUGAUAAGAGGAGAACAUACUCAGUGAGAUUGAAUAUCGAGACCAAGCAAGCUUCGUGCUAUUGCAAGUUGUUUGAAUCCCAUGGAAUUAUUUGUAGGCAUGUGAUUACUGUUUUUAACAGAGAGAAAAUCACCGAGGUUCCAAAGUGGAUGAUACUAAGGCGUUGGUGCAAGGAUAUUCAUAGGCCGCAUACUCGUGUCAAAGUCGUGUACCAUGACCCAAGCAAAAGUUAAGAAGUAUUGAGGUAUGACACCCUUUUGGUUAAGUUCGAGUCCAUUUGCUUGAAGGAUGCCACCCUCCCCGAAUAUGUGAAUAUUGCAGUUGCAGUUUUAGAUCAGUUGGACAUCCAGCUUGAUUAGAAUAUCAAAGUGAAGGCUCAAAAUAAGAAGAUGGCCAAGAAGAUAAAGGCGAAAACCAGGAACAUACUCCUCAGUCAGUGAACAAUGGAGAAUGCAACACAUAUAUGAACAAGGAUGGAGAAGAAUUAAUUGGUUUGGAUAAUCUUGUCAUGGAUGAUGACACUCAAAUUUGUACACCUGGUGCACAUGCAAAGUUGUGCACCAUUAGUGUGUAACACACCGAGUAGUGUUGGAAAUGCACUGUGCGGUGUUGGUAGUGCACCGAGUAGUAUUAGCCUGCAACCUUUAAGUGGUAAUGAUAAUAGUUUUGUGAUGGAUCCCUUACCUCGACGGUCGAAAACAUCUAAAAGAUUGAAGUCUUGUAUUGAAAAUAUCAAAAAAAAAUCGAAGAAUACCAAAAACCCGAUAGUAGGUCAACAACAAGUUCCAAUUGAUAACGAGGUUAGUUAAUACUCUUAUAAUUUUCUUUGUGCAUUAUGUUGUUUUGUUGUCGUUCCUUAUGGAUCUGUUUUGUUGUAUUUAUUGAAUGAAGUUGUUCAAACAUUAGCUGAUAAGCCUAAACCCAAACGAAAGAGGGCACCAAAAAAACAAAGCAAAGUUGUUCCUACAAUUGAGGUAUGGAGUAGCAAAGUUAUGUUUUUAUGUAUUAAUAAUCAUGUUUACCUUAUCUUACCCGGUAUCUUUAUAUCGGGGAAAAUACUAUGUACCAAAAAUCAGUUGUUGGUAUUAGUUUUGGACAAGAGCAAGAUAGAGUAUGUUAUUUCACACGCAACUAUUUUCCCGUAUGCCCUGAGUGGGUUGUUAGAGAAUGUUUUCCAUCUACUAGAACACUUCCGGUGGACACAAGAACACUCCCGGUGGAUUGUGGUACUGCACCAACGAACGCAUCACCAAUGGAUGUAACAUCACCUUGGGUUGGUGGUGGUGGUGGGGAAAAUAUGUGAUGGAAUAGAAAAUUGAAUGCCAAUAGUUAACCGGAUGCAAACACAAAUGCAAUUGCAAACGGCUAUCCAAAAAUAUUGUAAGACUAUAAUUUUGUUAGUGGGCUGUAAUUUUGUUAUUAGGUUGGGAGAUUCUAUUGCCAGAGAUUAAAAAGGAUUCCUUAAAUUGCAAUAUUAAGUACAUUCCGAGGUUAAAUAACCUUUAAACACCAAUACUAUUACAAUUCUCAAGGUUACAGUACAGUACACGAUAAUAACUCGACCCUUAUCCAUACAAACCGAUGUCUAGAGUAAUGUCGCCUAGUUUCCUAAUUUUGUAUUAUUAAAUCAUCAUAAUGU